GCCUCUGUGGCGCAAUGGUUAGCGCGUCAGACUUCUACAAGAGUAAUUUAACCCUAUGUAAUCUGAAGGCUGCGAGUUCGAGUCUCGCCUGAGGUU
rnacentral:tRNA from 1 species